ACACAGGUGGUGCAUGGUUGUCGUCAGCUCGUGUCGUGAGAUGUUGGGUUAAGUCCCGCAACGAGCGCAACCCUUGCCUUUAGUUGCCAUCAUUAAGUUGGGCACUCUAGAGGGACUGCCGGGGAUAACCCGGAGGAAGGUGGGGAUGACGUCAAAUCAUCAUGCCCCUUAUGCUUAGGGCUACACACGUGCUACAAUGGGUGGUACAGAGGGCAGCCAAGCCGCGAGGCGGAGCUAAUCCCUUAAAGCCAUUCUCAGUUCGGAUUGUAGUCUGAAACUCGCCUCCAUGAAGCUGGAAUCACUAGUAAUCGCAGAUCACAAUGCUGCUGUGAAUGCGUUCCCGGGUCUUGUACACACCG
rnacentral:rRNA from 1 species